rnacentral:rRNA from 1 species
CUACGUGCCAGCAGCCGCGGUAAUACGUAGGGUGCGAGCGUUAAUCGGAAUUACUGGGCGUAAAGCGGGCGCAGACGGUUACUUAAGCAGGAUGUGAAAUCCCCGGGCUCAACCUGGGAACUGCGUUCUGAACUGGGUGACUAGAGUGUGUCAGAGGGAGGUAGAAUUCCACGUGUAGCAGUGAAAUGCGUAGAGAUGUGGAGGAAUACCGAUGGCGAAGGCAGCCUCCUGGGAUAACACUGACGUUCAUGCCCGAAAGCGUGGGUAGCAAACAGGAUUAGAUACCCUGGUAGUCCACGCCCUAAACGAUGUCGAUUAGCUGUUGGGCAGCAUGACUGCUUAGUAGCGAAGCUAACGCGUGAAAUCGACCGCCUGGGGAGUACGGUCGCAAGAUUAAAACUCAAAGGAAUAGACGGGGACCCGCACAAGCGGUGGAGCAUGUGGUUUAAUUCGAAGAUACGCGAAGAACCUUACCCGGACUUGAUAUC